AAGCGCGUACGAGGGAUUAAUAACCAGAGUCUCUUCUUCCACUCUCUAUUUGUUCUUCCCUUUCUUCUUUCCCUCUCCACGUAGUCUCUGUCCAUGGAAGAAGAAUUCAAUCGAAAAUCGCCAAGAUUUUCAAGGAAUAGAAGAAAGGCAGUGAAAUUCUCAAGUGUGUCCAAGGGGCUUUGGUUCUUGAUAUAGUAUAGGGAACAAGUGAAUCUCGGAGCAGUACAAUUUGAUUACUCAACAUAUGAACUCUUUUUGUCCCAUGAUUUCUUGGUAUGAUGAGGUACCCGUUUCUUUUGUUCUUUCUUGCAUUGUUCUUUUUCUCAUGUUUGCUUGAGGAGUUAACCGAUUCUUUUUCCCUUUCUUGUUCUUUUUUCUUUUUUCUAUUGAGGACACCUUGAAUCUUGGAAAAUCCAAAAGGUAGUGCUUUUGCCGACAAGAUUGUUGUGGGCUAUCUUCUGGAGUUUUCAACACCUCUUAUCUUGGAGUUCUGCAUGAAGAUGAUGACUGCUUUCAUUGUAUACCAAGGCUGACGUUAAAUUGAAGAUGAAGAUGUCUCAACGCAAGAGAAGAAUUUUUCAUUCCGUGAGACGUUUGAAGGACGUAUGCAGCUAUCUAAUGUUAAGAUACAUUGUUGUAAAUUAGACUACUUUGUUUAAGGGAGCUUUGGCCUUCUCUGUAAAUUUGUAUAGUUUGUUGUAAAAUGAAAUGAAAAUUUUCUUCCAAGAGAUGUUGCCUGAUUUCAUAAAUCAUAAUUAAGCAUUCGCAAUCCAA